rnacentral:tRNA from 1 species
AGGGCUAUAGCUCAGUUGGUAGAGCACCUCGUUUACACGUGCGCCAAUGCUUUUCAAAGGAGCCAAUUAUGCAAUGAACAUAAUUGAUCGUAUUGAAAAAUACCGAGAAGGUCUACGGUUCGAGUCCGUAUAGCCCUAUAAUCCUAAUAUAUUUUAUAUUAUUUUAGU